AGAUAAAAACCCUCGUAAUCACUGAUUACAAAGGCUUUUAUCUGGAGCCCUCUUGCGAGAGCUCCAUCAUGGGAGAGGAGAAACCGGACGAAGAGCUUAUGGGGAAACGUAAGUCUUCUCCGCGG
rfam:Paenibacillus selenitireducens strain ES3-24 ES3-24_scaffold5, whole genome shotgun sequence.